rnacentral:rRNA from 1 species
CAGUAGCCACGGGAAUACGUAGGGUGCAAGCGUUAAUCGGAAUUACUGGGCGUAAAGCGUGCGCAGGCGGUUUUGUAAGACAGAGGUGAAAUCCCCGGGCUCAACCUGGGAACUGCCUUUGUGACUGCAAGGCUGGAGUGCGGCAGAGGGGGAUGGAAUUCCGCGUGUAGCAGUGAAAUGCGUAGAUAUGCGGAGGAACACCGACGGCGAAGGCAGCCCCCUGGGCCAAUACUGACGCUCAUGCACGAAAGCGUGGGGAGCUAACAGGAUUAGAUACCCCAGUAGUCCCUGUCUCUUAUAA